UAGCUACGGGAGGCAGCAGUGAGGAAUAUUGGUCAAUGGACGGAAGUCUGAACCAGCCAAGUAGCGUGCAGGAUUGACGGCCCUAUGGGUUGUAAACUGCUUUUGUUGGGGAGUAAAGUGGGGCACGCGUGCCUUUUUGCAUUUACCCUUCGAAUAAGGACCGGCUAAUUCCGUGCCAGCAGCCGCGGUAAUGCUA
rnacentral:rRNA from 1 species